rnacentral:lncRNA from 1 species
GUGGACAGUCAGCAAGGGUAACCUGCCAGGGAGAAAACCUAAGAAGCCAUGGUACAAACUGGUACCAGCAGAACCCUGCCAGAUGCCUGUGCAGGUCAUACAUGGUAACAACAACCAGCCCUCAGGGAUCCCAGACCGAUUCUCUGGCUCCAAGUCAGGAACACAGCCACCCUGACCAUCACUGGGGCUCAGGUUGAACAUGAAGCUGACUAUUACCGUCACUCAUGGGACAACAGUGGUACUC